AUGAGUCUUUUGUGCUGGAAUUGUCACGGGAUUGGCAUCGGCCCGACAAUUCAAGAGCUUCACAAACUCGCACAAAAGUUUGCCCCUUGAGUAUUUUGUAUUGUAGAAACCCAAAUUAGUGGUGCUAGAGCUGAAAAUUUAAAGAGUACUCUAGGUUUUGAAAAUUCUUUUGUUGUUGGCUCCUCCAGUAUGAGCGGAGGUUUGGCUUUGUUUUGGAAUAAUGAAAUAAAGAUACAAAAUUUGGGUUACUCAUGUUGUCAUAUUGACGUGAAAGUGAGUGAUUUAGGUGGUGAUCCUUCGAGACUCACCUACUUCUAUGGGGAGGCAUGA
rnacentral:rRNA from 1 species